CCUACGGGGAGCAGCAGUCGAGAAUCAUUCACAAUGGGGGAAACCCUGAUGGUGCGACGCCGCGUGGGGGAAUGAAGGUCUUCGGAUUGUAAACCCCUGUCAUGUGGGAGCAAAUUAAAAAGAUAGUACCACAAGAGGAAGAGACGGCUAACUCUGUGCCAGCAGCCGCGGUAAUACAGAGGUCUCAAGCGUUGUUCGGAAUCACUGGGCGUAAAGCGUGCGUAGGCUGUUUCGUAAGUCGUGUGUGAAAGGCGCGGGCUCAACCCGCGGACGGCACAUGAUACUGCGAGACUAGAGUGAUGGAGGGGGAACCGGAAUUCUCGGUGUAGCAGUGAAAUGCGUAGAUAUCGAGAGGAACACUCGUGGCGAAGGCGGGUUCCUGGACAUUAACUGACGCUGAGGCACGAAGGCCAGGGGAGCGAAAGGGAUUAGAUACCCGAGUAGUC
rnacentral:rRNA from 1 species